ACUCCUACGGGAGGCAGCAGUGGGGAAUAUUGCACAAUGGGCGCAAGCCUGAUGCAGCCAUGCCGCGUGUAUGAAGAAGGCCUUCGGGUUGUAAAGUACUUUCAGCAGUGAGGAAGGUGGGUAUGUUAAUAGCAUAUUCAUUUGACGUUAGCUGCAGAAGAAGCACCGGCUAACUCCGUGCCAGCAGCCGCGGUAAUACGGAGGGUGCGAGCGUUAAUCGGAAUUACUGGGCGUAAAGCGCAUGCAGGUGGUUUGUUAAGUCAGAUGUGAAAGCCCGGGGCUCAACCUCGGAAUUGCAUUUGAAACUGGCAAACUAGAGUACUGUAGAGGGGGGUAGAAUUUCAGGUGUAGCGGUGAAAUGCGUAGAGAUCUGAAGGAAUACCGGUGGCGAAGGCGGCCCCCUGGACAGAUACUGACACUCAGAUGCGAAAGCGUGGGGAGCAAACAGGAUUAGAUACCCUGAUAGGCUCUGC
rnacentral:rRNA from 1 species